rnacentral:rRNA from 1 species
UACAGAGGUCUCGAGCGUUAGGCGGAAUCACUGGGCUUAAAGCGUGUGUAGGUGGAUCGUUAAGUACCUUUGUGAAAUCCCACGGCUUAACCGUGGAACUGCUUGGUAUACUGGGCGGUCUUGAGCCACUUAGGGGCUACCGGAACAAAUGGUGGAGCGGUGAAAUGCGUAGAUAUCAUUUGGAACGCCAAUGGUGAAAACAGGGUAGCUGGGGGAUGUGCUGA